rfam:Erwinia tracheiphila strain BuffGH Etrach_2, whole genome shotgun sequence.
GAGCACUGAUUAAACCCACGGGCGUAGGAGUUUCUCCACGCCCGUGAACGUAUGCUAAGGGCAGGAUACCAGAA